GAUGAACGCUAGCGGCAGGCUUAAUACAUGCAAGUCGUGGGGCAGCAUGAAUGUAGCAAUACAUUUGAUGGCGACCGGCAAACGGGUGCGGAACACGUACACAACCUUCCUAUAAGUGGGGAAUAGCCCAGAGAAAUUUGGAUUAAUACCCCGUAACAUAAUGAUGUGGCAUCACAUUAUUAUUAUAGCUUCGGCGCUUAUUGAUGGGUGUGCGGCUGAUUAGAUAGUUGGCGGGGUAACGGCCCACCAAGUCUACGAUCAGUAGCUGAUGUGAGAGCAUGAUCAGCCACACGGGCACUGAGACACGGGCCCGACUCCUACGGGAGGCAGCAGCAAGGAAUAUUGGUCAAUGGACGCAAGUCUGAACCAGCCAUGCCGCGUGAAGGAUUAAGGUCCUCUGGAUUGUAAACUUCUUUUAUCUGGGACGAAAAAAGGCGAUUCUUCGUCACUUGACGGUACCAGAUGAAUAAGCACCGGCUAACUCCGUGCCAGCCGCCGCCGUAACAC
rnacentral:rRNA from 1 species